AGGUUCAAUUCUAUGGAUCCAUGAUGGCAGCAAAACGUCACCAAACUAUGACGCUUCCAGCUCUGUUCUUCACAGCAGAUUGUAUCAUUGAUCAAGUUGACAUCAUGAAAUGAAGUAAAGGUGAAAAGUUGGGAAAUCUUGUAGCAGCAGCUGAUGGGUUUGGUGAAAAAGAGCGACAUCUUGUGUUGAGUAAAGUUUGUACCAUGGAUCAAGUUGAUGUCGGAGAGUUGGAAGAGUCUGCAGCAGCUCUGAGUUUG